rnacentral:misc_RNA from 1 species
UUUCCGUAGGUGAACCUGCGGAAGGAUCAUUAAUGAAUACAACUGGGUUGUUGCUGGCUUCAAACGGAGCAUGUGCACACCCUGUAUCCAUAUACACCUGUGAACUUUCUGUGGGGUUGGCGAAAGCCCUCUCCAUGUUUUUACACACACAAUAUAAUUUAUUAGAAUGUCUACUGCGAUAAUACGCAUAAAUACAACUUUCAACAACGGAUCUCUUGGCUCUCGCAUCGAUGAAGAACGCAGC